rnacentral:rRNA from 1 species
GACGAACCGAGCGAACGUUGUUCGGAAUCACUGGGCUUAAAGGGCGCGUAGGCGGGUAUUCAAGUCUAUGGUGAAAUCCUGGAGCUCAACUCCAGAACUGCCUUUGAUACUGAGGAUCUUGAGUUCGAGAGAGGUGAGUGGAACUGCGAGUGUAGAGGUGAAAUUCGUAGAUAUUCGCAAGAACACCAGUGGCGAAGGCGGCUCACUGGCCCGGUACUGACGCUGAGGUGCGAAAGCGUGGGGAGGCAACAGG